rnacentral:rRNA from 1 species
GUGUAUCAGUACAUGGCAUAUCAAUAAGCGGAGGAAAAGAAACUAACAAGGAUUCCCUUAGUAACGGCGAGUGAAGCGGGAAGAGCUCAAAUUUGAAAUCUUCAAGGUUCUACCUUGACGAAUUGUAGUUUAAAGAAGUGUUUUCUGUUAGGUGUAUUGGCUAAAAGUUCUUUGGAAUAGGACAUCAUAGAGGGUGAGAAUCCCGUAUUUGACAUUCCUUCUAGCGUUGUGAUACACUUUCAAAGAGUCGGAUUGUUUGGGAAUGCAGUCCAAAAUGGGUGGUAAAUUUCAUCUAAAGCUAAAUAUUGGCGAGAGACCGAUAGCGAACAAGUACCGUGAGGGAAAGAUGAAAAGAACUUUGAAAAGAGAGUUAAACAGUACGUGAAAUUGUCAAAAGGGAAGCGUUUGACACCAGUGUUGUUUUUCCGAAAAUCAAUUGAGAAUGUUUUAUUUUUGAGGAGUUAUGACUUCAUCGGCUUGCUUCUCUCUUUAUGAAACUUUCUUAAUGCACUUUUCGGUUAACAAGUCAACAUCAAUUUCUUUUGUUGUAAAAGAGUAUGAGGAAGGUGGCUUACGUUUCGGCGUAAGUGUUUAUAGCCUUUUACCUCUGCAAUCGGAGAGAUUGAGGACAGCAGCGUAGACUCCUUCUGGGGUUAGAUACACUUGUGCUAAGCUAUAGCCUUGUAUAGACAACUUGUUGACUAUGCUCAGUCAUGUAGUUUACUCGCUUGUGCUAUUUUACCUACGCUUAGGAUGUUGACAGCAGUAUAGACUGU